AGCGAACGUUUGCGGCGGGCUUAACACAUGCAAGUCGAACGAGAAUCCCUUCGGGGAGGAAAGUGGCGCACGGGUGCGUAACACGUGGAUAACCAACCCAUUGGUUUGGGACAACACCGGGAAACUGGUGCUAAUACCAGAUGUGUCGCAGCUGUCUUCAGGCGGUUGCGAGAAAGGCCCGCAAGGGUCGCCAACGGACGGGUCCGCGUCCCAUCAGCUAGUUGGUGAGGUAAUGGCUCACCAAGGCAAAGACGGGUAGCUGGUCUGAGAGGAUGAUCAGCCACACUGGAACUGAGACACGGUCCAGACUCCUACGGGAGGCAGCAGUGGGGAAUAUUGCGCAAUGGGCGGAAGCCUGACGCAGCCACGCCGCGUGAGCGAUGAAGGUCUUCGGAUCGUAAAGCUCUGUGGGGGGAGAAGAAGAAAGCCGGUGAAGAGCCGGCCCUGACGGUAUCCCCUUAGCAAGCACCGGCUAACUCCGUGCCAGCAGCCGCGGU
rnacentral:rRNA from 1 species